AUUGACGCUGGCGGCAGGCUAACACAUGCAAGUCGAGCGGUAACAGGGGUAGCUUGCUACCCGCUGACGAGCGGCGGACGGGUGAGUAAUGCAUAGGAAUCUGCCCGAUAGUGGGGGAUAACCUGGGGAAACCCAGGCUAAUACCGCAUACGUCCUACGGGAGAAGGGGGCUCCGGCUCCCGCUAUCGGAUGAGCCUAUGUCGGAUUAGCUGGUGGUGAGGUAACGGCUCACCAAGGCGACGAUCGUAGCUGGUCUGAGAGGUGAUCAGCCACAUCGGGACUGAGAACGGCCCGACUCCACGGGGGCAGCAGUGGGGAUAUUGGACAAUGGGGGACCUGAUCAGCCAUGCGCGGUGUGAGAAGCCUGGGUGUAAGCACUUAGUGGGAGAACGCUGGUGGUAAUACCCAUCAGGAAGAAUCACUCAAGAGAGCACCGGCUAACUCCGGCAGCAGCCGUUAAUACGGAGGUGCGAGCGUUAAAUCGAAAUACUGGGGCGUAAAGCGCGCGUAGUUGGCUUGAUAAAGCCCGGUUUGUGAAAAGCCCCGGGCUCAAACCUGGGAACCGGCAUCGGGAACUGUCAAGGCUAAGAGUGCAGGAGAGGGAAGGUAGAAAUUCCCGGUUGUAGCGGUGAAAUGCGAAGAGAUUCGGGAGGAAAAACCGCCGGCCAAAGGCGGCUUUCUGGCUGACACUGACACUGAGGUGCAAAAGCGUGGGUAGAAAACAGG
rnacentral:rRNA from 1 species